GUUGAUGCCUAAAAUGGCCAAAAACCUCGGCCAUUUUGCGGCCCGGGGUUAAAGACCCCUUUAACACCGGUUCGUAACACGAACCGGUGCUAAAGGGUCUGCCCAACGGCUACUGACAGGUGCUGUCGGGGCAGAGACCCUUUAGCACCGGUUCGUAUUACAAACCGGUUCUAAAGGGGUCCCUUUAGCACCGGCCAGAGCCCCGGGCCGAGGCAAACCCUUUAGCACCGGUUUGUGUUACAAACCGGUUCUAAAAGGUAACCCUUUAGCACCGGUUUUUGCUCUGAACCGGUGCUAAAGGUCCGGUUUAUAGGCCGGCUCCCUCCUCCCCUCUGCCCAUUUGAAACCGAGAGCACCAUUGUUGUUCUUGGAGCUUCUUCUUGCUUGUUCUUCAUUUGUUCUUCAUCUCCAACGCCCAUCGUUGAUCUUCUUCGACUCCGUCAUCGUCUCUUCGCGCUUAGAGGUGACUAACUUCAGCC
rnacentral:lncRNA from 1 species